GAUUAUGGCUCAGAACGAACGCUGGCGGCAGGCUUAACACAUGCAAGUCGAACGCACCGCAAGGUGAGUGGCAGACGGGUGAGUAACGCGUGGGAACCUUCCCUUUGGUACGGAAUAACUUCGGGAAACCGAAGCUAAUACCGUAUAUCUCCUCCGGGAGAAAGAUUUAUCGCCAAAGGAUGGGCCCGCGUUGGAUUAGCUAGUUGGUAGGGUAAUGGCCUACCAAGGCGACGAUCCAUAGCUGGUCUGAGAGGAUGAUCAGCCACACUGGGACUGAGACACGGCCCAGACUCCUACGGGAGGCAGCAGUGGGGAAUAUUGGACAAUGGGCGAAAGCCUGAUCCAGCCAUGCCGCGUGAGUGAAGAAGGCCUUAGGGUUGUAAAGCUCUUUUGGCGGGGACGAUAAUGACGGUACCCGCAGAAUAAGCCCCGGCUAACUUCGUGCCAGCAGCCGC
rnacentral:rRNA from 1 species